CCACAACGGGUGGAGCCUGCGGUUUAAUUGGACUCAACGCCGGGCAGCUCACCGGAUAAGACAGCUGGAUGAUAGCCGGGCUGAAGACUCUGCUUGACUAGCUGAGAGGAGGUGCAUGGCCGUCGUCAGUUCGUACUGUGAAGCAUCCUGUUAAGUCAGGCAACGAGCGAGACCCACGCCAACAGUUGCCAGCAUGUCCUCCGGGAUGAUGGGGACACUGUUGGGACCGCCUCUGCUAAAGAGGAGGAAGGAAUGGGCAGCGGUAGGUCAGCAUGCCCCGAAUUAUCCGGGCUACACGCGGGCUACAAUGGUCAGGACAAUGGGUAUCGACACCGAGAGGUGGAGGCAAUCUCCUAAACCUGUCCUUAGUUCGGAUUGUGGGCUGCAACUCGCCCACAUGAAGCUGGAAUCCGUAGUAAUCGCGUUUCAAAAUAGCGCGGUGAAUAUGUCCCUGCUCCUU
rnacentral:rRNA from 1 species